CAAACCCUAUCAUGUGGUCCAUAAAUUGCCUAUGAAUCCAAGAAAAUAUACGUUAUCUAAGAAGUCCAUCUAGAAGGGAUGCGAAGUUUGGCAACAUGCAUAAAACCCUAAUUGUUGAUUAAUAUAUCAACUAAUACUAAAAACUUAUGGAUGCAUCAUCCUCACCUACCCCCAUAAUGAAUACUUAAUAAAAGCGAUGAGCAAA
rnacentral:lncRNA from 1 species